rnacentral:rRNA from 1 species
UACAGAGGUCCCAAGCGUUGUUCGGAUUCACUGGGCGUAAAGGGUGCGUAGGCGGUCGGGCAAGUCUGACGUGAAAUCUCCAAGCUCAACUUGGAAAUGGCGUCGGAUACUAUUCGGCUGGAGGAAUGGAGGGGAGACUGGAAUUCUCGGUGUAGCAGUGAAAUGCGUAGAUAUCGAGAGGACCACCAGUGGCGAAGGCGAGUCUCUGGACAUUUCCUGACGCUGAGGCACGAAAGCCAGGGGAGCAAACGGG